UGUGGCAGAUGAGUUAAAGGUCCAGUGUAUAACAUUUAUGAGGAUCUAUUGUCAGGAAUGGAAUAUAAUAUUCAUAGGUAUGUUUAAUUCGUGUAUAAUCACCUGAAUAUAAGCAUUGUUGUGCUUCCAUGUAUCUAGACACCAUCAAGCUAAACUGCUGUGUUUCUACAGUAGCCCAGAAUGGACAAAGCAAACACUGGCUCUAGAAAGGGUGUUUAGCCACUGUAGUUUCUCCUACACACUUCACAGCCCAUUCUCAUUCCCAGAUCUUCAAAUACAGACACGAGCUGGUCCUUUAUCCGCGUUAUCCACAGUUGCUCAACAGUCCAGCUUUUGUUAGCAGGCAGGACCAAUCACAAUGUUUGUUCACAUUAACUUCCAGGUUCAAAACCUCUGCUUCUAGGUAUCACUAUUUUUCAGCAUAGACUGCAGCCAGACACCGACAUUGAACACAGGGUACACAGUAUCAAUCAACUGAGGACACAACUGGGAGAGUAUCGUAUCAUAGUUUGACUUAAAGUCCAGCUCUGUCAAGAGAGUUACAUUUUGGGCAACAGUGCAGAUUUGCCUGUCAAGAUUUCACCAAAGUUAAUCACCUGUACCUGAUUCCGACUGAGUUUUGGAGAAACCCAAUCAGUACUUUCAAUUGUUCACAUGUUUUCAAAAACAGGAUAUAGAUGGUUUCAUGAUGGUAUAAGUAAAGAGGGAAUAAACUGCAGGUCGUCAUUUGAUGCCAGCUGCACCUCAAAGAUGAAAGACUUCUUGCACCAUUUUGCUUGUAAUCAACUUGGCCUCUACACCACCAUCAUCGGGAUUUUUACUUACAAUGUUUUGCUUGAAAGGGACAUGGCAUGCACAUGUGAAGGACAAACGAUUCUGUGCUAUGUAUACUUGAUUCUGCCAGUUGUGACCAUCCUUGUCUUGAUACUCUGGAUGGACAAGAUGAGUCAGAGAACCUUAGGAUCUUCUUGCCAGUGUUUCAUUAAGGCACUUCUUGUUGGUCUGUUGUGGAUUGUAUCUGUGUUCAUCGAUGGAGACUGGUAUGUUUGCUGUAUGAAUGAUCACUCUGAGCAACAGGUUAAGUUAGCCUGCAGAGAUAAGGACAACUUUACAGCUGAGGAACAAACAAUCAUCGCUGAACUAAAAAACUUUUCGAAGGUUUUUGGCUUCUCAUUGCUCUUCCUGAUCAUUUUUGCUGCCUUUUUGUCGCAUGCUUGUUGGAGGAAAUGCUCCAACUUUUGUUAUGGCAGGGAAGUUCUGUACGACAAACUGAUUUUAGAAGAAGAGGAACAUGUACUGGAAGAGAUUCUAAGGACAGCAGCAAAAGAAACGUUGACCCAGAUCUUCAUUGACAAAAUAGGUGAAAAAAAAUGGAAAGAAUGUUUCAAUGUCGCUAAAGAACUGAAAUCCACUGAACCGACACUUUCUGAACAACAACAACGACAGUGGGAAGAAUGGAAGAGAAAAAGAGAAGAAACAGUAUCCACAACAACAGCAGCAGCAGCACAGGAGGAAGAAAUGGGACUUCAGUCAAAUGAGAUGGAGAGUCUCCUAUCAAUGAACCGAAAUCUGAGGCUCUAAAGAGGAUUCAACAUAAUAUUGCCUGCAGUUAUGUUGUUUUGUUGUUUUCUAUUGCAAAUGCAGCUGAAAGACAUGAGACAGUUACGAUGAUAUAUAUGCUAUUAAGAUAAGGGGUGUAUGUUUGUGAGGUGGCAUGUGGAGUAGAGUAUUGUAAAAGAAAAGGAUGUCAAUUUAUUGGUGAUUUAAAGUAUAUAACAACAACAUGUGUGACACCAAUAUAGUAAUAUGUAAUAAACUAAUAAAUAAAUAUGAAUAUAAUAAUACUAUAAUAAUAAGAUAAACAACAUAAUGGUGAAGCAGAUUUUUAUAAAUCUGUAGCUUUAUAUUGGAAUAUAUGACUGCAAAGCAUCUGAGGGAGGGUUCAUGCCCCCACUGCAACCACAGUAACACAAAGCAAUUACGCUUGAGUACUCAAAUGGCCAGCAGCAGCAGAGUAAACCCUGAAUAAAAGUUAUUUUUGAGUAGAGUACAUUUUUGUUGCACUUUCAAAUGAUAAUUGCUGUUAUUUGUUGGUCCUGAUGCUGUGGUUAGCUGUAAAGCUCUCUCUGAUCAUUUGGCACAACAGCGACAUCCUGGACAGGAAGGUUAAAAUGUGUAACUGCAAUCUUUUGCCUUUGCGAUAAUGGUGGACUAUAAAUGAGAUAAAUAUAGCGCUCUGUGAUCAGUUUGUCAUGGUAAAAUAUGAACUUUUAAUCACCGAAUUAUAUCAUUGUUUCACAUUGCAUUUACUUUUUGUUUUAUUACUGUACUAAUAACCUUUGAGCUUCCACUAAACCAUGAAGAGAAAACUUUUCAUCACCUAUCAUCUCGCUGAUUGAGAUCAUCUGGCUGUUGGAGAAAUAAAGUAUUCCACUGAACAACAUUAUCAGUAUAAUCGGGGUUACACUUUCAGUGUGUCAGCAGCUGUCAGCCUCUGGCUCACGCUGUCCCAACCGAACAAGUCUCAAGCCGAACAACAGGAAGCCACAAAGCCACUCCAUGAUAAAAGAUACAUUUACUACCAUAAACAGUAUGUGUUAAAUAAGCCUCUCUGUCCACACUCAACAUCUAAAAGUCAAGCCUUUCUUCAUAUUUAAGUGCCAGCCUAGGUCCAUAAACAUUACAGAAAGUGCAAAGGCUUUAAUUAACAAAACACACACACACACACACACACACACACACACACACACACACACACACACACACAGACAGACAGACAGACAGACAGACAACAUACACACACACACACACACACACACACACACACACACACAGACAGACAGACAGACAGACAGACACAUACAAGAUACAACUUUGAUGGAGUUUGUAAUAAUAAUUAAUAAAAACAAAACUAAUAAAACUAACUAAUAAAAACUAAUCCAGGGUUCUACAGAAACAUCCACAUAUUGAUGCUACAUAAAAACAAUUGCACUGACAUUUUAUUUGACACCAACUUUUGCAACAAAAAGCAGAAAUGAUGAUGAACACAAAUGUUUAAAGUUAGACCCCUCGGGUGUCCCUGUGCUGUUAGCUAGCACCGGUGCUGUGACAAUUGAGAAGCAAUGGAUGCUAGUGCUGUAUACUAACCCCGAUUUUUAUCGAGCCCUCUAUGCUGUGCAGAGGUUUAAGCAAACUGAAAGCGUUUACAGAAUACCAACCAAAAUGAGUGCAAUGGGAUGCAGUGUAUGAAAGAUGCUCCUGUUUUUUUUUUAAAUAAAUCUGCAAUUUUAAAACUUUCCAAGUUUAUUUUCAAGAACAGGGUAAGGGUGUGCUGCCUGGCAUUUGUGUUUAUUGAAGAAACACAAACCUUACAAGUGAAGACAUGCAGCAGAUUUCUUCCACGAACAGGAAACGCAUGGUUUCCUGUGAGUAUAUUCAAAGGUUUCAAGCAGCAGCUCACUGCAGAUGCAAACUUUGCACCAAAGAUGAAGAACUUCUUUCCAAAAUUCGCUCUCAAACAAUACAGCUCCUACAUCGCAAUCAUUGUGAUAUUUAUUCACAAUGUUGUGCUUGACAGGAAUUUGGAGUGCUCAUGCCAACAACAAGCUCGAGACUGCAAUGUAUACAUGGCUCUACCGUUUUUUAUUGUAUUAGUUUUACAACUCUGGUUGGACAAGACUAUUCAGAGAACCUGGGGAUGUAGGUGCACAUUUUUCUGGGUUUUCUUGUGUAACUUUGUUAAGGCAGCUUUCAUCGGUCUGCUGUGGGUUGUAUCUGUGUUAAUCGAUGGAGACUGGUUUGUUUGCUGUCACAAUGACCAUUCUGACAAACAGGCACAGUUAGCCUACAAAAUCAAAAACAAGAUAAACAUGACACUCGAGGAACACUCAAUCACCGCUGAACUGAAAAACAAGUCCAUGUUAAUCGGCCUCUGUCUGCUCUUCUGUGCCCUUUGUGUUGCUGCCUUAAUGUCACCAUUUGGAUGGAUGAAAUGCUUUGAAUGUUGUAAGACAGACCGUUGUAAUGAUUGUUGCGACAAAGGAAUUCUAUAUGACAAAGUGAUUUUGGACGAGGAAGAAACUGUACUGACAGAGAUUCUGACAAAGGCAGCAAAAGACAACUUGACUGAAGCAAUCAAGAACAAAAUAAAAGGAGAUGACUGGAGAAAGUGUUUUAAUGUGGCUAAAGAACUCAUUGGAGAAAAACCUGAAAUAAAAGGCCAGACAACCAGUGCAACACAAACUGGAACAGAAGCAGAAUCAACAGAACAAGCAAGAGAACAAGGAAGCCAGCCCACCACAGCUGGAGGACUAACAGAAGGAACAGAAGGAGAAAGAGAAAGAGCAGCCAAAGCAUUUGCAGAAGGACCAGCAGGACCAACAGCAGCCACACCGUUUUUGCCGCAGGAAGAAGUUCAACUUGAAGAAAUGAAGACUGAUUGAGGACUGAUGGAUCCCCUUCUGCUUAAGGGUGGAGGUUCAUCAGACGAGCACUAAAGAAGGAUCUACUACAACUACGAUGGAUACAUGUUGUACAACACAACAAACUGUUGGCAGAUUUCAUAUUGAGCUUUAAUCUGUAAUUUUAAUGUUAAUCAUGGAUUCUGUUUCUAUUGUGAUUUAUAUUUGAUUUAUUAGACUUCUUUCAGCUCCCAGUAGUCUGCACAAAUUGCAGUGUUAUGCUUUUAAUCUGUGAUUGUGUUGAUCAUUAGACAUAGGCUGGAGAUUUUGGUUGAUUUUAUUUGUAAUGGCAGUUUAAAAGAAAUGUUCCUAUUGUGAUUUAGAUUUUCUGUAUAUCCUUUUGCUUCCAGUACUCUGCACACCUUAUUACAGUGUUAUGAUUAGUUUCUUUUACUUUCAUCAAAUUUUAGUGUAAAUGUAAAUGUAAAAUAUGACAUCAACAUUAAAGUUCUGUUAAGAAAUGUAACACAUUAA